rnacentral:rRNA from 1 species
UACAGAGGGGGCAAGCGUUGUUCGGAAUUACUGGGCGUAAAGGGCGCGUAGGCGGCCCGCUAAGUCGAACGUGAAAUCCCCGAGCUCAACUCGGGAAGUGCGUCCGAUACUGGCGGGCUUGAAUCCGGGAGAGGGAUGCGGAAUUCCAGGUGUAGCGGUGAAAUGCGUAGAUAUCUGGAGGAACACCGGUGGCGAAGGCGGCAUCCUGGACCGGCAUUGACGCUGAGGCGCGAAAGCUAGGGGAGCAAACGGG